rnacentral:misc_RNA from 1 species
AGCCAUUUUAGGGCAACGUGGUUUAUUAGUACCUGCAACUGUAAGCCAAAUCAGCUAGGUUUUGCAUCUUUCUCUAAACGGUGGAUAGAUCUGUUGCCAACUUUCCCCGGCUCUGAAGCGAAUCAGAAUUUUGUGUCAGCAGUACUUAUUUCUUCUUGAUGCGUUUGGAAAACUAGGAAUAAGGCAGUAUUUGAGCAUACCCAGCCUAAUCGUUCUUCCCACAGCUGGAAUACACCAACAGAAGGUGUUCUGAAAUUUAACUGUGAUGUUGCUUGAAAGGAAGAAUCUUCCCUAGCUUCGGUGGCUGUUAUUGUGUGAAAUUUCCAAGGAACGAUUAUGGAUGGUGUAGCAAAAAAGUUUCACAGUACAUCUCUUUCUGGCGGAGCAAGAGCAGUUCUUGAGGCGGUUAAUUUAACAAAAGCAAUAGGUAUCACCAAUUUAGCAGUAGAAUCUAAUUUGGGGAUUCUAAUUUCAACAAUCAAGAGUUAUCCUUGAUGUUAGGGUUGGAAAAAUCAUGCAACAGUACAGGCCAUUGCCUCUUGUAUCCCUCAAUUUCAGAAGAUAGAUUUUGUGAAGUUUCAUAGAUUAGCUAAUAAAGCUGCUGAUUUUGCAGCUAAGCUAUAUCUGCAAAAUCAGUUGUGUAGCGAUUGGAUUUUUGUUCCCCCCGUAGUGUUGAGGGAGAUACGCAUGUUGGAUGCUCCUGGAGCCUUGUAAUGCAAAAUAGUUUGCACUCAAAAAUAAGAAAUAAAAAAAUAUCAGACUAU